rnacentral:rRNA from 1 species
AGGACGAACGCUGGCGGCGUGCUUAACACAUGCAAGUCGAGCGGUAAGGCCUUUCGGGGUACACGAGCGGCGAACGGGUGAGUAACACGUGGGUGAUCUGCCCUGCACUCUGGGAUAAGCCUGGGAAACUGGGUCUAAUACCGGAUAUGACCUGCUCUCGCAUGGGGGUGGGUGGAAAGAUUUAUCGGUGCAGGGAUGGGCCCGCGGCCUAUCAGCUUGUUGGUGGGGUAAUGGCCUACCAAGGCGACGACGGGUAGCCGACCUGAGAGGGUGACCGGCCACACUGGGACUGAGACGCGGCCCAGACUCCUACGGGAGCAGCAGUGGGGAAUAAUUGCACAAAUGGGCGAAAAGCCUGAUGCAGCGACGCCGCGUGAGGGAUGAAGGCCUUCGGUUGUAAACCUCUUUCAGCAGGACGAAAGCGACGAAGUGACGGUACCCUGACAGAAGAAGACACCGGACUAAACCUACGUAGCCCAAGCAACGCCGGUCGGUAAACUCGUAGAGGUACCGGGC